UAAAGAAUUUCGGUAUGGGAUGGGGAUGCGUUCCAUUAGUUAGUUGGCGGGGUAACGGCCCACCAAGACAACGAUGGAUAGGGGUUCUGAGAGGAAGGUCCCCCACAUUGGAACUGAGACACGGUCCAAACUCCUACGGGAGGCAGCAGUGAGGAAUAUUGGUCAAUGGACGAGAGUCUGAACCAGCCAAGUAGCGUGAAGGAUGACUGCCCUAUGGGUUGUAAACUUCUUUUAUAUGGGAAUAAAAUGUUCCACGUGUGGGAUUUUGUAUGUACCAUAUGAAUAAGGAUCGGCUAACUCCGUGCCAGCAGCCGCGGUAAUACGGAGGAUCCGAGCGUUAUCCGGAUUUAUUGGGUUUAAAGGGAGCGUAGGUGGAUUGUUAAGUCAGUUGUGAAAGUUUGCGGCUCAACCGUAAAACUGCAGUUGAAACUGGCAGUCUUGAGUACAGUAGAGGUGGGCGGAAUUCGUGGUGUAGCGGUGAAAUGCUUAGAUAUCACGAAGAACUCCGAUUGCGAAGGCAGCUCACUGGACUGCAACUGACACUGAGGCUCGAAAGUGUGGGUAUCAAACAGGAUUAGAUACCCUGGUAGUCCACACACUAAACGAUGAAUACUCGCUGUUUGCGAUAUACGGCAA
rnacentral:rRNA from 1 species